GGCCAUGUGGAUGUCAGGCACACACAAUUUGAGUCACGCUGACAUAGCUGGGAUGCCUGGAUUGCACUGGAAUCUGGGGGGUACCAAUCACAGGCCAGAGAGAAGCCAUUGGCUGGAAGGAACAAUGCCAGCGUGUUCACCGUCUCUGCAGAAGGAGGGGGUGUUGAUGGUGAGGGGAAUGACAGUUGCAGCCAAAGGAGCAAAAUGACCCCAAAGCAGGGUGGGCACAUGUCAUUGAUGCUGGGCAGAAGCACUCCAGGGGCUCAGGUCAUGACCACACCCCUUUUCUCCUGCCCCACAACCAGAAAAACUAAGAAGGUACAAGAUUUUCCCUAAAACUUAAUGUACAGAAUGCCCUGCUGUCUUCAGGUUUUUGGGAAAUCCAGGGUUGACAACAACAGCCCAAAUAUAUGAAGCACUUACCUCUACCAGGCACUGUCUGUAUCUUACAAAUAAUUCGUUUAAUUCUCACAACUCCUUAAUGAGGUGUAAGCCUUUUUCUGGUUCACUACAUGCCAAGGACUGCGCUAAAUCAUUCACAUAAAACCACCAGCGUGCAUCACCUCAUUUGGUCCUCCCACAGUCUAACGGAAGAAUCUACCAUAAAACCAACAGACUCCUCCUGAUCUCUACCUGUGCUGUCUGCCUCUCUAGUUCCGGACACUGAGAGCUGGUGCCCUGUGGCCACCUCAAGCUGGAACCCUGCAAGAUCACCAAGAAGACUGCAUGCCUCGCUCUAGCCUUCCUAAGGGAAAGUAGACUCCUGUUUUUGAGAGAAAUUACCUGAUUUCAAGAGAAACAUAAAGGACUUUUUUUCCCUUAACAUUCCACUCGUAAAAAUGAAGUUUGGAAGAACUUCUGCAAACUCUGAGUGUUUUGGUCAAUUGACCUUUUACUGUACUAAGCAAAUCUGAAGCCACAAAUACAUUGGGGAGGAAGGUAUACCCUUCACAAAAGAUCCGUCACUUAGCCAGAUACUCUGUUGCCAUGCUUCUUUAAAUAAAGCACAUUUCUGGUAUAUUU
rnacentral:lncRNA from 10 species